CCCAAAUGCCAGCAGUAUAGAAAUGUCAGUCUACAUUAAUGCAAGUAGCAUCCCCACCCCACAACCCCACAAGUCCGUUCUGCACACAGCAGCCUGAGUGAUUCUUUUCUUUUCUCUUUAAGAUUUUAUUUAUUUAUUUGACAGAGCGAGAGAGAGAUCCAUGUAGGCAGAGAGGCAGGCAGUGGGAAAGGGAUGAGCAGAGAGCCCAAUGCGGGGCUCGAUGCCAGGACCCCGAGACCAUGACCUGAGCUGAAGGCAGAGGCUUAACCCACUGAGCCACCCAGGCGCCCCGAUCCUUUUCUAAUCUAAAUCAAGUCAAGCCUCUUCAAAACCAUCCAAGCUCUUCUCAUCUGGCACAAAGUUAAAGGCAAAUCUUUACAAUGGCCUUGAAUACUUUAUGUGAUCUGACCCCACUACCUUCCUUACCUACCUCCUACUUAAAGACCCCUCUCCCCUUGCUAAAGGCUUGUUUAAGUAACCUGAUGUCCCCACAGCACCCCCUCUCCCCUUGCUGAAGGCUUGAUUGUCCCCAUAGCCAGAUGGAAACACAUACCAGGAUGUCUAGUGUCUGUGAUCACCCGGUCUGUCAAAAGAAAAGACAAAUGAGGAAUAGAGUGUACCUGGGACUUUCCAGAGUGCUGAGGCAAGGCCCGCCAGAACAAACGGCUGUGUCCUUGCCUUAAACCCAACGCCUGACUAAUUAACCAAUCAGAUCCCUGUAACCAUGCAUCUGCUUCUGUAAGCUUGCUUCCCGCUACCCCAACCCUGCCCUAUAUAAUCUGCUCCCCAACUUAGCCCGGCGCGCUCAGCCCACAAAGGCUGAUGCAUCCGCAGGCGCCUGUGUAACCAAUAAACCUCUUGCAGUUUGCAUCCAGUGGAGGCGUGCCUUUUGAUUCUUGGGUGCGGCACCAGGGUCUUUCAUUUGGAGGUCCCAUCGAGAUCUCUUGAAGUCCCACCCAAGACUCUAGCCGGUCCCCACCAGGAGGUAAGCUGGCCAGUAUCCGUGUCUCUGUCAUUCGUGUCUCUGUCUCUCUGUUUGUCUGUUUUUCUGUUCCGUACAACAACGUUGUUGCUCCGUAUUUUUGGGCAGGCUGAGAAGGAGUUGACGAACUCAGACUUCUCCCCUGCUGUAACCGAGGGACGCCUCGGGGGUUUCAGUUUACUCUAGGAGAUGCCUUGGGGUUUCCAAAGAGGGCCAUUAUCUUGGGCCACCUGUCGGUCAGAGAGGAUCUCGCGUUCCUCCUGACCAUAACCUGUAGUCUCGAUUUCUGAACCGAACCCGCACAGCAAUUUCUAUUUUUGUCUCUUGUGUCCAGGCUGUCCUGUCGACGUCCUAAGUGUCUAUAUGUUCUUUGUUUCAGUUAUGAAGGUAACAUUCUGUUUAGGGAAAAAUGUCUGAUCCGUUUGAAUCUGAGGAAUGCCUGACUGUAUGAAUGUUUAUGUGGCUCCACCGCCUUUGGCUAUGGAGUCUGAGUGGGCUGCACCCUGAGUCUCGCGGAGCGUCAUACGGCAUAACGGUCAUCUACUCCAUGGAGUAGCCUGGUCUGGGGUUUAUAUGGAUAGACCUUAGCUAAGACGCUCCUAAGUUCCCACGAGGGACGCGAGCAGGACAGCACCUGAAAGGUCCCACUCCCCUUGUCUGCAACAUCAUACAUAUCGGAAGGAAAUAUAAAAGAUAGGUAUUAAGAACUAAAACCAGAUUCAAUGAGUCAGCUAGUAAAUUUCCUCCUGACAUAUUGGAUAAACCCAGGUUGCUGGGCCAUCCCUAGCAAAGGGGACUCUGGCUUUAUUUCUCUCUGUUUCUCCUAAUAGAUGUGGGAGCUUCUCCCUCACUCACUUCCUAUGUUGAUGGCUAUAACUGAAGCCAACUGGGGUUGGUCUGACUCGGGACAGAGACUAUAGGGAAUAUUCCCAAGCAGCUGCUGAAACUCUUUGUUUCGGGGAGGUUUCCCUGUGUUCUCUGGCCUGACUUGGACUGCCUAACCCCUCCCCCCUGGCUAAUGAAAAAGCAUGGCAUCUGCUCCUCUGUUGGGGCUUAGGAGCUCCAAAACUGGGAAUCCUUUCUCUGCCUCCUGGCAGCACUUUGUUUCUUCUGUUUCCCUCUUCUCCUAUUUCUAUACCAACGUGUGUGCAGCCUGCAUGACUGGCCUCUAGAUCAUGCACCACAGCUCCUUCUCUCUUCACUGUCAAGGAGCAAGAAGAGCACCCCCUGGACCUAACACCCCCUCACUCCAGAUCUUCCCAACCAUGUCUCAGACUCCAUUGCUACAAUGACUACACCACUACAGACGAUCCUUGUCGCGCACAAGAACACCUCUUCACUGUCAGCGCUGGAUUCAGCUGCCUCCACCUUUUGAAACUCCCUUAUACAUUCCUACCCUGAUCAAUAUUAACCCCAGUAGGUAGGGACAGCUCUACGCCCCUAUUCAGCACGAAGAAGUUAUAGAAGAUGAGACCUUCCACCUUCAACCACCUUAAAAAUUUAAGGGUCUUUAAAAGCUGGCGCCUUGCAUCCCCCCUUCACCCGCUCCCCUCCAUAUGUGUAGCAUUCCUCAGGCACCCCUGACUGCCAUAAAAUGAUAAAUAGUUGACUUGCUAAGAUCACAAUCCUGCAAGAUAGGAGCCUCCCUUGGUUUGCAAAUGUCCUUGAGAUUACAACAAAGAAGUUACUUUAUCAAUAGCCCAAUUUUCAAUCGGCCCUUGUAUCUUAAAUAAACUCGUACAGUUUGUAAAAGAUCGCUUGUCAGUAAUCCAGACAAUGGUACUGACACAGCAAUAUCAACUACUUAAACAAACCGGCUCUCAAACUGACUUACUUGAUAAACAAAGCGAAUGUAUAUAGGAUUCUAUCCAUGAUAAAGAAAAAGGGGGGAAUGAAAGACCCCUCUCCCCUUGCUAAAGGCUUGUUUAAAUAACCUGAAGUCCCCACAGCACCCCCUCUCCCCUUGCUGAAGGCUUGAUUGUCCCCAUAGCCAGAUGGAAACACAUACCAGGAUGUCUAUUGUCUGUGAUCACCCGGUCUGUCAAAAGAAAAGACAAAUGAGGAAUAGAGUGUACCUGGGAAUUUCCAGAGUGCUGAGGCAAGGCCCACCAGAACAAACGGCUGUGUCCUUGCCUUAAACCCAACGCCUGACUAAUUAACCAAUCAGAUCCCUGUAACCAUGCAUCUGCUUCUGUAAGCUUGCUUCCCGCUACCCCAACCCUUCCUAUAUAAUCUGCUCCCCAACUUAGCCCGGCGCGCUCAGACCACAAAGGCUGAUGCAUCCGCAGGCGCCUGUGUAACCAAUAAACCUCUUGCAGUUUGCAUCUA